GGGCCAGUCGUCUAGUGGUUAGGACAACGCCCUUACACGGCGUAGGUCCCAGGUUCGAAUCCUGGCUGGCCCA
rnacentral:tRNA from 1 species